rnacentral:rRNA from 1 species
AUUGAACGCUGGCGGCAGGCCUAACACAUGCAAGUCGAGCGGGGUUUUCGGACCUAGCGGCGGACGGGUGAGUAAUGCGUAGGAAGCUACCCGAUAGAGGGGGAUACCAGUUGGAAACGACUGUUAAUACCGCAUAAUGUCUACGGACCAAAGUGUGGGACCUUCGGGCCACAUGCUAUCGGAUGCGCCUACGUGGGAUUAGCUAGUUGGUGAGGUAAUGGCUCACCAAGGCGACGAUCCCUAGCUGGUUUGAGAGGAUGAUCAGCCACACUGGAACUGAGACACGGUCCAGACUCCUACGGGAGGCAGCAGUGGGGAAUAUUGGACAAAGGGCGCAAGCCUGAUCCAGCCAUGCCGCGUGUGUGAAGAAGGCCUUCGGGUUGUAAAGCACUUUCAGUAAGGAGGAAGAGUUGUGUGUUAAUAGUACACAGCUUUGACGUUACUUACAGAAGAAGCACCAGCUAACUCUGUGCCAGCAGCCGCCGUAAUAC